GCCUUGGUUGAUUAUUGGAAAUCACCCCAGCCUGAUAAUCAUCGGAAUUUGUAGCAUUCAUGGGGGCACGCAGGUUCGAAUCCUGCCCAAGGCA